AGAGUUUGAUCAUGGCUCAGGAUUAACGCUAGCGGCAGGCCUAACACAUGCAAGUCGAGGGGCAGCAUUAGUACUUGUACUAGAUGGCGACCGGCGCACGGGUGCGUAACGCGUAUGCAACCUACCUAUUACAGGGGGAUAGCCCGGGGAAACCCGGAUUAAAACCGCAUGACACUGCGAUGUCACAAGAUGAUGCAGUUAAAUUUUCGGAGGUAAUAGAUGGGCAUGCGUAUGAUUAGUUAGUUGGUGAGGUAACGGCUCACCAAGACAGUGAUCAUUAGCGGGUCUGAGAGGAUGAUCCGCCACACUGGUACUGAGACACGGACCAGACUCCUACGGGAGGCAGCAGUGAGGAAUAUUGGUCAAUGGGGGCAACCCUGAACCAGCCAUGCCGCGUGCAGGAANNNGCCUUCUGGGUUGUAAACUGCUUUUAUACAGGAGCAAAUAGUCCCUGCGGGGAAAGUUGAGAGUACUGUAUGAAUAAGCACCGGCUAACUCCGUGCCAGCAGCCGCGGUAAUACGGAGGGUGCAAGCGUUGUCCGGAUUUAUUGGGUUUAAAGGGUGCGUAGGCGGUCUAUAAA
rnacentral:rRNA from 1 species